CUUAUGAGACAAAUACUAUAGAAAGUGAUAUACUCCAUUAACAGAUGAAUAAACUCAGGUUCCAAGAGGUGAGAUGAAUUGCCCAUGAUCACAAAGCUGUUAACUGCCAGAGAUGAUGCUACUGUGAACACUUGGGCAAACAUUCUUCAAAAGUCAAAUACCUAAGUGUCUCUCACCAUAGUGCCAUGUAAAUACUGUGAAAAAUGAAAGGCAGAAACUUUGAAGCUCCUCUAAGGGAGAGAUGGCAGGAGGAGAGAGGAGAGCCAACGAGAGAUGCAUGGCAGGCAAGCAAGUUGUUUUCCUGGGCCAUUCCAUGCAUUUAAGAAAUUGGCAAAGCAGGACCUUCUAUGUCUGAAGACCCAAAGAAGCUCACCUAAUUAAGCAGAGCAGGGGUAUUCCACUAAGACUGAAGUGCUAGAAAGCUGUCUGCCUACUGGUGCCCUUGUUGUGAAAAUACAUUAAAAAGCAUCACUUCCAUCUCUUUUUAUGUUUAUUCCAGGAUAUUCUAGAUUCAUGUGCUAGUCCUGACUUAGCCCUUUUCUUAUCCUUUGAAAUCUCAGUGGAUUUUCACUGUAAUACAAAUUUACAGAUCAAGGAGGGAAACUAACAAUGCAAGCAUAAGAUAUAUUUUAUUAUCAUCAUUCAGUUCUGAAAACGAAAAUCACAUGUUGUGGUUACUUCAGUGCAUGAGAGUAGUUAGAAAGCCUCGGGUCUAAUCUGAGGUUCUUUGGGUUAUUUACCUUCACUUCAUGGUUUCCAGGACUAUGCCCAGCCCUGUGGGCUCUCUCCCUUCCUAGCACAUCUACCUCAAAGACAUUUACUACCUUUGUGAUCUUGAGUAAGUCACUUCACCUCUCCCAGACUGAGAUUUCUCAUCUCUAAAAUGAGGGGGUUGAACUAGUUGGCUACUGAUGUCUUUUCCAGAUCUCUAUCUUUGAAUCUAUAAAAUUAAAUAAAC
rnacentral:lncRNA from 1 species